UCUGGGAGUAAACGGGUGGUACCCGAAAGUUCGAAAGGGGAGAUUCAAGUCUCGCCGUGCGUCGGGCGGCGGACGCGACCAGAGAUGGUGUCUUCGCGAUUGAGGGGUAACUCUCGGUCCGGAGGCUCCACUCCGCGGCCGCCGUCUGUCCCGGCGUCGGAGUGACGCACUUCUCCCCCAGUAGGACGUCGCGACCCGUCGAGCGUCGGUCUAAGGUCACGGGAGGAGUCUGUACAGUCUGCAAUUUUGUCGACUGCGCAUGACCCCGUGAAUUCCGGCCGAGUGCACGACGGUACGAAGCAUGGAAGGAGUCGACGCGCCACUAGUUGGCGUCCGGCCCUCCGCAAGAGCUCGUGGGAGUCCGGGCUGCGGGCCUGGCCCGAUUCCGGUCUUCCACGAGGCUGUUUGCGAUCAGGAGGUGUCCUCGGACGGCGUUGAUUCUCCAGUCGGCGACGCUUCAGCUUGGAUGGCCUACCCGACCC
rnacentral:rRNA from 1 species